AACGAACGCUGGCGGAAGGAAGAACACAGGCAAGUCGAACGAGACCUUCGGGUCUAGUGGCGCACGGGUGCGUAACGCGUGGGAACCUGCCCUUAGGUUUGGAAUAACUCCCCGAAAGGGGUGCUAAUACCGGAUAAUGUCUUCGGACCAAAGAUUUAUCGCCUUUGGAUGGGCCCGCGUUGGAUUAGCUAGUUGGUAGGGUAAAAGCCUACCAAGGCGACGAUCCAUAGCUGGUCUGAGAGGAUGAUCAGCCACACUGGGACUGAGACACGGCCCAGACUCCUACGGGAGGCAGCAGUGGGGAAUAUUGGAAAAUGGGCGAAAGCCUGAUCCAGCAAUGCCGCGUGAGUGAUGAAGGCCUUAGGGUUGUAAAGCUCUUUUACCCGGGAUGAUAAUGACAGUACCGGGAGAAUAAGCUCCGGCUAACUCCGUG
rnacentral:rRNA from 1 species